rnacentral:misc_RNA from 1 species
GAUGAAGAACGCAGUGAAAUGCGAUAAGUAGUGUGAAUUGCAGAAUUCAGUGAAUCAUCGAAUCUUUGAACGCACAUUGCGCCCCUUGGUAUCCCGAGGGGCAUGCCUGUUCGAGCGUCAUUUCACCACUCAAGCCUGGCUUGGUGUUGGGCGACGUCCUCUUUGGGGACGCGCCUCGAGACGCUCGGCGGCGUGGCACCGGCUUUAAGCGUAGCAGAAUCUUUCGCUUUGGAAGUCGGGGCCCCGUCUGCCGGAAGACCUGCUCGCAAGGUUGACCUCGGAUCAGGCAGGGAUACCCGCUGAACUUAAGCAUAUCAAUAAGCGGAGGA